rnacentral:lncRNA from 1 species
CAUUAUUCUAUAUUUCACACGCGUGUUUUGAUCAUAAUAAUAGUGUUUCGUUAUUCUACUAAUGUUUCGCUUUGGUCUCUUAGGAAACGUUCGAUGGAAACAAAAGGAAAUUUUGUUCAUUGUGCAUAUCCUAAGCUAUCUCCAUAGGUUUGUAUAUCGAUUGCGUAUUGAUAUCCCCCCAUCAAUCUCCAGUCAAAUAAACAGAUCCAUACGGUCUUAGUGACUAUUCACUAUGACUAUGUUAUUUUAUAGCUUUAGGUACUGCUGAUGUUAAAAAAUGAAUGCAAUAGUCUUGGAGGCAAUGGAUUUAAAAAUAGUCUAUAUACUUGUCACUCCAAACUCCAAAUCAUAUGUGCGAUCUUAUGGAAGUAUGAAUGAAUUUCUAUGAUUGAAGAUCCCCUUAAAUGUACCCAUUCUUGAUGCUAAGGAGUUCAAGAAUGGGAAAGAACUUUACCACUUAUGGACAAU